CUGAGUACGGCGGAACACGUGAAAUUCCGUCGGAAUCCGGGAGGACCAUCUCCCAAGGCUAAAUACUCCCUAGUGACCGAUAGUGAACCAGUACCGUGAGGGAAAGGUGAAAAGCACCCCGGAAGGGGAGUGAAACAGUUCCUGAAACCGUGUGCCUACAAGUAGUUAGAGCCCGUUAAUGGGUGAUAGCGUGCCUUUUGUAGAAUGAACCGGCGAGUUACGAUUUGUUGCAAGGUUAAGCGGAAAAAGCGGAGCCGUAGCGAAAGCGAGUCUGAAUAGGGCGCAUAAGUAACAGGUCGUAGACCCGAAACCAGGUGAUCUACCCAUGUCCAGGAUGAAGGUAAGGUAAUACUUACUGGAGGUCCGAACCCACGCACGUUGAAAAGUGCGGGGAUGAGGUGUGGGUAGCGGAGAAAUUCCAAUCGAACUUGGAGAUAGCUGGUUCUCUCCGAAAUAGCUUUAGGGCUAGCCUCGAGGUAAAGAGUCAUGGAGGUAGAGCACUGUUUGGACUAGGGGCCCUUCUCGGGUUACCGAAUUCAGAUAAACUCCGAAUGCCAUGUACUUAUACUCGGGAGUCAGACUGCGAGUGAUAAGAUCCGUAGUCGAAAGGGAAACAGCCCAGACCACCAGUUAAGGUCCCCAAAUAUAUGUUAAGUGGAAAAGGAUGUGGGGUUGCUUAGACAACCAGGAUGUUGGCUUAGAAGCAGCCACCAUUGAAAGAGUGCGUAAUAGCUCACUGGUCGAGUGACCCCGCGCCGAAAAUGUACCGGGGCUAAACAUAUUACCGAAACUGUGGAUGAACCUCUUUAGAGGUUCGUGGUAGGAGAGCGUUCUAAGGGCGGUGAAGUCAGACCGGAAGGACUGGUGGAGCGCUUAGAAGUGAGAAUGCCGGUAUGAGUAGCGAAAGAAGGGUGAGAAUCCCUUCCACCGAAUAUCUAAGGUUUCCUGAGGAAGGCUCGUCCGCUCAGGGUUAGUCGGGACCUAAGCCGAGGCCGAUAGGCGUAGGCGAUGGACAACAGGUAGAGAUUCCUGUACCAGUGCUAAUUGUUUAACCGAUGGGGUGACACAGAAGGAUAGGGAAUCGCACGAAUGGAAAUGUGCGUCCAAGCAGUGAGUGUGAGAAGUAGGCAAAUCCGCUUCUCGCGAAGCAUGAGCUGUGAUGGGGAAGGAAAUUAAGUACGGAAGUUCCUGAUUUCACGCUGUCAAGAAAAGCCUCUAGGAAGAGUAGUACUGCCCGUACCGCAAACCGACACAGGUAGAUGAGGAGAGAAUCCUAAGGUGAGCGAGAGAACUCUCGUUAAGGAACUCGGCAAAAUGACCCCGUAACUUCGGGAGAAGGGGUGCUCUAUUAGGGUGCAAGCCCGAGAGAGCCGCAGUGAAUAGGCCCAGGCGACUGUUUAGCAAAAACACAGGUCUCUGCAAAACCGUAAGGUGACGUAUAGGGGCUGACGCCUGCCCGGUGCUGGAAGGUUAAGAGGAGUGCUUAGCUUCGGCGAAGGUACGAAUUGAAGCCCCAGUAAACGGCGGCCGUAACUAUAACGGUCCUAAGGUAGCGAAAUUCCUUGUCGGGUAAGUUCCGACCCGCACGAAAGGCGCAACGAUCUGGGCACUGUCUCAACGAGAGACUCGGUGAAAUUAUAGUACCUGUGAAGAUGCAGGUUACCCGCGACAGGACGGAAAGACCCCGUGGAGCUUUACUGCAACCUGAUAUGGAAUGUUUGUACCGCU
rnacentral:rRNA from 1 species